rnacentral:rRNA from 1 species
GAUCAUGGCUCAGGAUGAACGCUGGCGGCGUGCCUAACACAUGCAAGUCGAACGGUUAAGCCGGCUUCGGCCGGGUAUAAAGUGGCGAACGGGUGAGUAACACGUGACCAACCUGCCCCGCGCUCCGGGACAGCCUCGCGAAAGCGGGAUUAAUACCGGAUGCGCCCCGGGGGCCGCAUGGCCCCCGGGGGAAAGCCCAGGCGGCGCGGGAUGGGGUCGCGGCCCAUCAGGUAGUAGGCGGGGUGGAGGCCCGCCUAGCCGACGACGGGUAGCCGGGUUGAGAGACCGACCGGCCACAUUGGGACUGAGAUACGGCCCAGACUCCUACGGGAGGCAGCAGUGGGGAAUAUUGCGCAAUGGGCGGAAGCCUGAACCGCAGCAACGCCGCGUGCGGGAUGACGGCCCUCGGGUUGUAAACCGCUUUCAGCAGGGAAGACAUCGACGGUACCUGCAGAAGAAGCCCCGGCUAACUACGUGCCAGCCGCGGC